ACAAAAACACCAAAACCUUGAUUACAGACUAACAAUGGCAGCCGCUACAUCCGCCGCAGUCUUAAACGGCCUCGGAUCACCCUUCUUGACCGGCGGCAAGAGGAGCCACACCUUGUCAGCACCACUAAAUGCCGCCACCAGUGCCACCUCCGCCCCUAGGCGCCUUGUCAUUGCUGCCGCCGUCGCUCCCAAGAAAUCUUGGAUCCCCGCCGUAAAGGGUGGCGGCAAUUUACUCGAUCCCGAGUGGCUCGAUGGCUCGUAAGUCUUUUUCUUAUGUAUUUUUUUUUUAAAUAAAUUAAAAAACCCACUUGAUUUUCUCUCCGAGUAUACUAAGAUUUGUCCUUUGUGUAUAACCGGUUCAAAACAGGCUCCCAGGUGACUUCGGGUUUGACCCGUUAGGUCUAGGCAAGGACCCGGCAUUUCUAAAAUGGUACAGAGAAGCUGAACUCAUCCAUGGCCGGUGGGCCAUGGCUGCAGUCCUGGGCAUCUUCGUGGGUCAGGCAUGGAGCGGGAUCCCAUGGUUUGAAGCUGGAGCCGACCCGGGUGCCAUUGCCCCGUUUUCAUUCGGAUCUCUUUUGGGCACCCAACUCCUACUCAUGGGUUGGGUCGAGAGCAAGAGAUGGGUCGACUUCUUCAACCCGGAAUCACAAUCGGUUGAGUGGGCCACCCCAUGGUCCAAAACAGCUGAAAAUUUCACCAACUACACUGGCGAACAAGGGUACCCAGGUGGCAAAUUUUUCGACCCGUUGGGCUUUGCGGGUACGCUCCAGAACGGAGAAUAUGUCCCGGAUACCGAAAAGCUUGAUAGAUUGAAGUUGGCUGAGAUUAAGCAUGCAAGACUUGCUAUGGUUGCUAUGUUAAUUUUUUACUUUGAAGCAGGAC
rnacentral:lncRNA from 1 species